rnacentral:rRNA from 1 species
AUUGAACGCUGGCGGCGGGCCUAACACAUGCAAGUCGAGCGAGCGGCGGACGGGGGAGUGAUGUCUGGGAAACUGCCGGAUGGAGGGGGGUAACUACAGGAGACGGUGGCUAAUACCGCAUACCAUCAGAUGUGCCCAGAUGGGAUGAGCUAGUGGGUGGGGUAACGGCUCACAUAGGCGACGAUCCCUAGCUCGUUUGAGAGGAUGACCAGCCACACGGGAACUGAGAAAGGGCCCAGACUCCUACGGGAGGCAGCAGUGGGGAAUAUUGCACAAGGGGCGCAGGCCUGAUGCAGCAAUGCCGGUUGUGGGAAGAAGGCCUUCGGGUUGUAAAGCACGUUCAUCGGGGAGGCGUUACCCGCAGAAGAAGCAACGGCUAACUCCGUGCCAGCAGCCGCGGUAAUUC